UACAGAGGGUGCGAGCGUUGUUCGGAAUUAUUGGGCGUAAAGGGCGCGUAGGCGGCGCCACAAGUCACUUGUGAAAACUCUGGGCUCAACUCAGAGCCUGCAAGCGAAACUGUGGUGCUGGAGUAUGGGAGAGGUGCGUGGAAUUCCCGGUGUAGCGGUGAAAUGCGUAGAUAUCGGAAGGAACACCAGUGGCGAAAGCGGCUUCCUGGUCCAGCACCGACGUCAGGCACGAAAGCGUGGGGAGCAAACAGG
rnacentral:rRNA from 1 species